GCAACAUUCGGACCGUCAGUCUCCCGAGCAAAUAUGACCCGCUCGGUGGAAGAUCUUCCCUCCUUCGU
rnacentral:pre_miRNA from 1 species